rnacentral:rRNA from 1 species
UAAUACGGAGGAUGCAAGCGUUAUCCGGAUUUAUUGGGUUCAAAGGGUGUGUAGGCGGGGAUGUAAGUCAGUGGUGAAAGCCCGCAGCUCAACUGCGGAAUUGCCAUUGAUACUGCAUUUCUUGAGUAUAAUUGAGGUGGGCGGAAUGUGUCAUGUAGCGGUGAAAUGCAUAGAUAUGACACAGAACACCGAUUGCGAAGGCAGCUCACUAAAUUAUUACUGACGCUGAGGCACGAAAGCGUGGGGAGCGAACAGGAUUAGAUACCCUGGUAGUCCACGCCGUAAACGAUGAUUACUUGAUGUCGGCGAUAUACUGUCGGCGUCCAAGCGAAAGCAUUAAGUAAUCCACCUGGGGAGUACGGUCGCAAGAUUG